rnacentral:rRNA from 1 species
UACGGAGGGUGCAAGCGUUGUCCGGAAUCACUGGGCGUAAAGGGCGCGUAGGCGGCUCAUGAAGGCUGUGGUGAAAGUCCGGGGCUCAACCUCGGAUCGGCCGUGGCGACUCGUGGGCUGGAGCACUGUAGAGGCGGGUGGAAUUCCGGGUGUAGCGGUGGAAUGCGUAGAGAUCCGGAAGAACACCGGUGGCGAAGGCGGCCUGCUGGACCAUUACUGACGCUGAGGCGCGAAAGCUAGGGGAGCAAACGGG